ACGGAAGGCAGCAGUGGGGAAUAUUGGGCAAUGGGGGCAACCCUGACCCAGCAACGCCGCGUGAAGGAAGAAGGCUUUCGGGUUGUAAACUUCUUUUGUCAGGGAAGAGUAGAAGACUGUACCUGGCGAAUAAGCCACGGCUAACUACGUGCCAGCAGCCGCGGUAAUACGUAGGUGGCGAGCGUUGUCCGGAUUUACUGGGUGUAAAGGGCGUGUAGCCGGGACGGCAAGUCAGAUGUGAAAUCCACGGGCUUAACUCGUGAACUGCAUUUGAAACUGUUGAUCUUGAGUAUCGGAGAGGCAAUCGGAAUUCCUUGUGUAGCGGUGAAAUGCGUAGAUAUAAGGAGGAACACCAGAGGCGAAGGCGGAUUGCUGGACGACAACUGACGGUGAGGCGCGAAAGCGUGGGGAGCAAACAGGAUUAGAUACCCUGGUA
rnacentral:rRNA from 1 species